UCGAAAUCGAACGGAAGAACGACCCGCGAACCGUCUUUGCGUAACGAACCGAGCUCGCGAGCAGCAAACGCUCGCGSGUCUCGCGUCGCGUCGGCGCGGUCCUCGAAAGGGCCACGCCGCACCGACAAACUAACAAUGUCAGCACGGAUCGUGCCAAGGAGCUGUACAGGCGAGAGUCGCCGUCCCACGCCCCCKGUCCCCCUCGACUGGGGGCGGGUGACAUGCGCGAUCUCUGCUCUUAGUCUUAAUGACUCUCGGCAACGGAUAUCUCGGCUCUUGCAUCGAUGAAGAACGUAGCGAAAUGCGAUACUUGGUGUGAAUUGCAGAAUCCCGCGAACCAUCAAUUCUUUGAACGCAAGUUGCGCCCGAAGCCAUCCGGCCGAGGGCACGCCUGCCUGGGUGUCGUGAAUCCCCUUGCCCCAGGGCRCCCGCACGAGCAUCGUCGCGGAUAUGCCCGGGCGCAGAAUAUGGUCUCCCGUCGGAUCGGCGUGCGCUGCACGUCGUGGGGCGGUUGGCCGAAAAUCGAGCAUUGCGACGUCGGGCUCCACGGCGUUCGGUGGAUCGAAMGCGAUUGGCUGCGCCGUGGUCCCGUCAUGCCGCGGGCUCCGGACUACUACGACGAUUCCCGUG
rnacentral:rRNA from 1 species